UACGUAGGGUCCGAGCGUUGUUCGGAAUUACUGGGCGUAAAGAGCUCGUAGGUGGCUUGUCGCGUCGGUCGUGAAAACUCACAGCUUAACUGUGGGCGUGCGGGCGAUACGGGCAGACUUGAGUACUGCAGGGGAGACUGGAAUUCCUGGUGUAGCGGUGGAAUGCGCAGAUAUCAGGAGGAACACCGGUGGCGAAGGCGAUCACCUGGGGUUGUUCUGACGCUGAGGAGCGAAAGCUAGGGGAGCAAACGGG
rnacentral:rRNA from 1 species